AAAGGGACCAAUGGAGGCAGGUUAUGGAAAGGGGAACAGUUAAAUUUGUAAUUUUGGUUGUGUGAAACACUUCUUUGGGCCUCAUAAACAACCACAGAACCACAAGUUGGGUACAGAGGCAGUCACACAAGAGCGGGUCCGGGAUAUUGGUCAGCAGGCAGGGCAAAUCGCUUUGACUGCAAACCACAGUUUCGUAGAGUGGUAGAAGAAAUCAUAUAUUCCUUCACUGUAAAGAGAAAGUGAGUUUUAAAGAGGAAACAAUGGCUUCAAACAGCGUAUUUGAUUCACUUCCUUCUUACCAGCACUUCUUGAGAGGUAAGUGCCAUUCAUACUUUCUAAAUAUUCUUUUCGCUAUCCCAUACAUAAGCAAAUGCAUGUCUGGAGAGAAUUUGAGGACUUUCUUGUAGUACAUGCUUUUUCCUACUUCAAUUUUCUUCAAGGCGUUCUUGUUCAAGCUAGUAUAUGAGCUUGUAGGAAUACCACCUUAUUACUUAUCAUCCAUUAAGGAGAUUAUAACAUGGACUCAUUUAAGCUGUUUAAACAGGCAUCGCAUGCUUGUGAAUUUUCUCUUCAUAAAUCAAAGUCUGUUCGAGGAGCUCAUAUGAAUUAAAGCAGAUACAAUAGCAGUAGCACAAGCCUCUUUUGAUUCCUUUUGGCAGAAUUAUGACUUUUUGAGCCACUGCCGUGAAAAAUGACAGCCAGCUGCAUACGACACCCAUUACAGGCUGCACCGCCGCGAGCGAGCAGCAGGCUCGUGCCGGCAGCCAGCAGAGCGUGAUGCUGGCUCACUUACACUGUGCUGUCAGCCUGGGUGAAGGCACACUCGCUGGGGAGAAGCUGGGAAAGCUCAGAAACCUGCUUAAAGUUGGCUGCAACUCACACGGCUCUGGAGAAGCAAUGUGGGUAAAUUCAGGGUUUCUGUUGAUGCCACGCAGGUCCCUGAUGACUGUGAAUUAUUGGCUGCAACCAAUCCUAGAGAAAUGAAGUAGUCCUGUAAGGGCUGGGGAGGGGAUUGGAGUGCAGCCCCCCAGCAAUCUGACUUGUUUCACUGUGACCGAGCAUAUUCAGAGGCUUGCUCAGUCAUGGGUUAUUCAUUUGAGCGAGCCCGGGACUGGCACGAGAAACUUGUUCACUUUCUUGUAACUGCCUUCCCAAAUAGCACAUGAUGCAGCUGAACUUUUCCCCUUCCAUGCACACCCUCUGAGUAUCCGAGCCCCUUCUGCAGUGCCGUGCCUGCCGGAUGACAGCGUGCAGACGGUUCAUCAAACUUGGCCAGCACGCCGCGAUACAGCAGCGCUGUGUAGCUCUUUAUAACUGCAGACUACAGCUUCCCGGCCUUGCCGCUGCUGUCAGCGUGAGUCACGCGUUAUUCCUAUUAAUAUGCGAGUUGGGAAUGCGGAAGGCUCGCCCCUGCUGCUGUGUCACAGCAACUCUGUGAACCCUGAGCUGCUCCCACUGACCGCUGUGGGAUGAGGGCAAGGUGCCAAAGCGCCCACCAUCUCUCUUUGCUUUCUUUUCUUCUUUUUGUCCCCCUCCUGCGAUGAAAGUUUUUCUGCGUCUCUCUUUCCUGGCGCCAGCGGGGAGCUGAACACAGUGAGCUGUGUGAGUCAGGCAGGCUCACAGCAUCCUGGCUUGCAGCAUCACCCAGCCUGCAAGGGGAGAUGCCGGAGGCUUGGCAGGAGGCAGCUGGCUGCUCCCAGCACUCACCGUGCUAAUGUUUUGCCAGCUCUGCUUCCAAGCAAAGGAAGCAAUACUGUUAGAAUAGCAAGAAGGAUCUUCCUGCAUUUUGUCAGCUUUUUUUGGUGUGGUUUUGUUGUUGUUGUUGUUGUUGUUUUUUAAGUCACCCAACUGUUUGCUGUUUAAUCUGUAGUACAGGAAGACUUUUUGAGGAAAUUCUGUCCUUCUGAUAAAAAAUAGCAAGCCUCAUGGGGCAGCACUUGCAGCAUGCCAGAAUACAGCCAGCUCGUGGGAUGGGCUGGGGACAGUUGAGGCUAUCUUGAUGGCAGGAGCCCCUUAAAGUGCAGGGGAGCAACUGCAUGGAGACCAAGGGCUGAUUCUUUCUUGUCUAGGUUUGCUAAGGCUGGUUAGUCCAGCCAGUGGUUUACCUCAGUGCUUCACUAUAGGCUUUAUUAUCUUUUUCAGUACUGCUUGCACUCUUAUUGUUAAUACUGCAGUAAUUUGUACUCCUUCAUGGACAAGGUCCCCAUUAUAUUAGAUACUUUAAGUUACAGAUCCUGGUAGGUAUCCAGCACAAGCGAGGUGAAACUGCAGCUGUUCAGUGCAGGAAGAGCUUGGGCAAGAGCGUUUUGGUUGGGUUAUAAAGCAAAUGCCUCAUCAUUGUGAAAGAAUAUUGCGUUUUAACAUGGAAAGCUGCAACGUUCCUUUUUUGUUCCUGUCUUUGCUCAAAUGAACUUCAGAAAAUUUCAAAAUUCUGGGGACAACAAGAGCAAUGCUUGGGUCUCGGAGUAAGAAAAAUAAUCAUCCCCAGGACAGAUUGUUCUCAGCCAUAUUUCUCAACAGUGUUUACACAGACUGGCCAUUAGAAAUGUCCCAAACCAUCUCUCCUUUUUUUCCCGCCAAAAUUUAUUACACUUUCGCCUUUAACUGAAAUUAUGAGGUAAAGGGAAAAGUGACUUGCAUUCUGCCAUGGAUUUCACUUUAUCAGCCCAUGCAGUUCUCUGAGAAGGAAAUCCAUUACUUUUUUUUUAGCGUGGUGCUAUGUGAAAAUUGGGAAAAAAGAAAGGGAAUGGGGAAGCAGAACAAUUGUUCCAGCCCCUGUGAGCAAUGAUAGACGUAGAAAGCCUGACAUAUUAAUUGAAUGUGGUACACCACAAAGGAUAUGGCCCUCUUUCUAUCACACCACACCAGGUCCUUGCUUCUGCCACUAGGUAAAGAAAUGAGGAUUGCACUGAAACCUCCAGUGAUGUGCUCUGCAUGCUGAACGCAUUUACAUGUUUACCAGCUCUGCUUUUAAUGAUGGCCUCAUUUUCCUAAUAUCCUCUUUCAGUUUAUGGCCUGGGCUGCAUGAUAGGAGUACAAAAUGAGAGCCUUUUUAUGGUUGUUUUGUUGUUCUAGUACAGCCCUCAAUAAAACAUCACUUGAUCCCUUUCUCAAACCUGGGUUUGUAUCAGCAAGGCUGCCAUUUCAACUCGUACACAAGCAUGGUUUGUAGGACGAGGACAGAUUUGCUGGCUUUACUAGGGGCUGGGUAUGAUUUCGUGUGUAUGGACUGGGUCACAGAAAUGGUAUCUUUUGGGUAGGAGGACCAAAACAAGACCCAUUGGAGAGUCUUGUGUUAAAGAGUGCAUGUUUCAUUUCUAAAAGAGGCCUAGUUAAUUACAUGAUACCACUAACCCCAUAAUGUCCUUGUUUUUCUUAGGGGCAUUAGGCUGUUCUGUAAGGUUUCCUAACAAUUUUGCCUGCAAAAGAAGACAGCAUAAUUAGUCCUUUUACAAAAACAUUGUUGUUGUUUUUUUUUUUUUUAUGGGGUUCUAAAUAUUAUGAAGCAUAAUAUUUUCCAGGAAGGCACUUUCCUCAUUUUCCCUUUCGCUACGAGGUCUAAUUAUUUCAGUAUGCAAAGAAGGUUGCUCCUGGUUUUGCCUUUGUAGUAUUUUUUGUUGAUUAAUCAAGGCAGUGAAGCUCUGUGGUGCAACAUUUUCUUGGUUUCUUAUCAAAUGGAAAUAAAUUCCAGCAGAGCACUUUUACAGCAUGGAAAAACACACCACGUGUGCUUUAUUCUUAGUUUUAACACUGUAGUGACCAACCAUCGUGUGUCUCCUUGUUUGCACACGCUAAGUAAAAACAUUGCAAGAAGCUCCUCCUGCUUGGAAGGGCUUCUGUGCCUGGUUCUGUGGACACUGGUAUACAAGCGCAUUGUUUCUCAUUGCCCUUUAGUUGCUCUAACUUAUGGGAUUUAUGGGAAUCUUAUAGGAUUUAUGAAGGUAGGUUGUUCACAAAGCCCCUAGCACUAUAUGUGAGUUAGGAAAAUGAGCUAUCCAGAAGCUCCCUGCUAUUCGGGUCUGGCUCUGCAGGUUCAACAUCCUAGAGUUGGUGCUUAUCUGCAGAGGGUGCUGGUGCAUCCACUCUAUGACGAGUGUUCCCAGUGUCAGCUUUUGUGUGGUCCUAGUGGGACAUCAAGCACUGCAGAAAGACAUCCUCUGCAAGUACAACUUGUGUCCCCAGAUCUAGGUGUGUGACAUUGGCAGAAGUAAUCAUGCUAGAACCGGCUCUGUGAAAAACAAGUUCUUCUGAGAGAUGCACAGUACUCAGCAGCACCAUGUGCUAGGAAAGGCUUUUUUUUUCCCUCACCCAGGAAAAGAAAUGGCUCUUUUAGCAACAGCAUAGUCUAGGUUGUGACUGUGUAGAGAGAGAGCUUUCCCAAUCCAUUUGCAGACUGCUUGAACCGUUGCAUAGAGUCAAUUUGUGCCAGCAUUAUAAAAUACUAACUGUGUCUUGUGAAUGGGAAAUUGAACUAAAGCUCAUAAAAACCUCGGCUUACUGGAAGAAAAAACAUGAAUGUUGUCAGAUUUACACAGCCUUCUCUGAGACUUUUUCACUCAAAACCUUUGAGAAGCACUGAGAGACCCAAACACAGGAAUUCCUGUCAAGCAUGUAGUGGGGUGAAGUACCUGACAGAGAUGAAUACAUUGCUUCAGUAAGAUCAAGAGAUUUUAUCUAAAGCCAAAAUACUGAACUUUAUGUUUAACCAAUCACACUCAGCUUAGUGAUGGACUGUGAUGUCAUUCUCAGCAUGAACUCAGGAUCAGAGUUGGCUUGCAGAUACCUGGGAUUGGCAUGCCCAAAUGUGACCUUUUUCCACCAAUGGAAAAAACUCACCCCGCUGUGUGACCCCACUACACACAGCAGAACCCUGCUGGUCCCAGCAGCUGCACUCCUGGAGGGGCUGCCUGAGGUCUGGGCAGGAUAUUGGGACCAGGUCCUCUCAUGUGGUUGUGGAGCACGGAAGUGAGAUGCAGAGCAGGUUCAAGAGCAAAGGGAAAUGCCUCUUGCUAGUGCUCUUGUAGAAGCUGCCAGCUAUGGUGCCUCCUUAAGGGAUAACAUGAGGUUGCUCACCCCUGUGACAAGGUAUGGAAAUCCGUCUUCCUCCUACAAAUGACAAGGGCUUGUACACUGAAAGCAGCCAUGGCACAUGCCCCACAUAGCUAGUAAGACCUCUGUCAAAUGCUUGUGCUAACAGGUGGGAGAGGUAUGGCACCGUGCCUUGGGAGAGCUCAAGAAAGUUUGCACCAGGGAUGUGAUGCUGACAUGUUCUGUACUUUUGCAGAUUGCAGUGUGCAAAUAUGUCUUUACUCAGUUGUUGUUUUUGUUUGUUGGGUUUUUUUCCAAAUUUUAUUUAUUUGGUUUGUUUGUUUGUUUUUGUUUGUUUGUUUGUUGUUGUUGUUGUUUUUUUCCUAAAACAACUGUAGCAGCCAGCUCACCUGUUCCUAUUCCUUUCUCUAUGCUCUGUCAAUGGAGCAAUGUAGGGUAGAUUUUUUUUUUAAUGGUGGAUGAUUACAGCCUAGAACUCAUUGUCAUGCGAUGCCAUUAAAAACAAGAGUUUAUUGGGAUCCAUGAAUCAGCUAUAAUCCAUAAUCUUAAAAACAGAUAACAGUUUCUUGAGAUGUACCAUCCAGGUAAACAGUUAAUCUCUGCCUUCAUCUCUCACUGCCGUAUUUCAGAGCACAAACCAUUCUCUGCUAAAGCUCGGAGAGAAAGCUUCGCAUGUAAGCUGGUCUGUCAUCUGCAAAAUGAAUUGUGGCUUCCUCCAAAACAUCUGGUACUGGCUGAGGGGAGAGACAGGCCACAGGCAAGGUGACUCACUGGUCUGAGAGAGGGAUAAGAAAAUAUUACAGUACCUUUGUUACCUCCUCUGUCAUCUUAAGAGAAUGGAUAAUAUAUGAAUAAAGUUGAGUCAGCUUCCCAAAUAAUAGAAGAGCAGUCUGGAUAUCUCCUCAACGAAGCGUAUUGAUGAACUGGGCUGGGUGACCACUGAAGUUUAAAUCAGCGGAGCACCUGUAAAGGUCUGCAGUAACUUGGUGAAGUCCAUGAAAGCACUGACAUAUUCACAGUGACACUGCCUGCAGGGCAUAUUAUUCUUGCUGCCAGUGGAAACAAGGCUAGAAAUUAAAAACAUGGAUUGACAAUGUAAUCAAUUUUCAAUUUUCUUCCUCUUAGGUCCCAGCAGACGGUAAGGCAUUAGUGACCAAGAUACACCUUAGUCUGAAAUGCUGAAUUGUCUGUAAAGAUGUGUCCAGACAAUUUAAACAAGGGAAGAAAAGAAAGGGCAUAGAAGACCUGGCUGGGAAAGCAGAGCAGCAGAAAGAGCCAGUAGGAGCUACCUGGUAGUGUUUCCAAUUCAUCCUUAAUGCUGUCCGCAGGGCUCACCACUUCUGCUUGCAAGUGAAACUCUGUGAAAUUGGGUAGUUUCACUUCACAAAGAUCUGUGAGAACAUUUUCUCCGCCUUUGAUCUGUCUUGGCUUUUCAGCCUGCGCUUUUUGUUUUGAGUUUCUGAUUCCAGUGAACCCAAAAGCAGCCUGAAUCAGGGGCUAGGGGCUUUUUCUUUUGCCUUCUGAGUAUUUGCUCUUGCAGAGUGCUUUCUGUUGGCUGGUUUCACGCUGAAGCUGUGAUACUGAGACGUGCUAAGAAGCUGCCCUUUGGUAGAGUUUUGGCUGCCAGUUGAAAAUCUCAACUCUCAUACAAAUCUUUUCCAUCAGUGCAGCAUGAGGGAACUCACAACCUGACAGUUUGGAUGUGAUUUGCUAUAAACAUUUCACUCAGCUGUACUAAGGGAAAAUCUUGCAAUCCUUGUCAAGCCAGUGCUAUCGAGAGGCACUGGAAUGCCUGUGAAAUGCCUUUUUUUGCAUUCAGACAAGAAAGAAGCCCAUUUGUGAAAUAUUUGAAUAUUGGGGGUAAAGGACCACAGAUGAGCAUCCAUAUCCCUUCUGGCAAAAGUCUUGCACUUCCCCAGUCCUGCAUGCAGCUCUCAUAAGUGCCUUUUCAAGCUGACUUUGUGGCAUUUACCUGCAUCAUGCCAAGCGGGAAUAUCCCAGGGCGUAUACAGAAGCCUUGAACAAGCACUGAGGGAUGCAGAGCUCAGUCACCACUGUUGAAGCACCCUGCAUUGUUCUCACCUUCAGCAAAUGCAUGUACUGUGUGCAAGCCGAGCAGCUGGAACAGGGCAUCACAGGCUGCACAGGGGACAGAUGAGCCUCCUUGCCUAUCAGCACUUGAUUCUCUUUAUGUACGUGCUGUGGUACCAAAAGGUAGUGGAAGGCAGUCUGGCACAGCGAAAUGAAAGCUUCCCUCCAUCUCAUGCGGUGACACCGGUAGAUGCAAGUCGCUGCCAGCAAACCCUCGGAUGUGUAAGUGUGUUCAGUGCUGGUGUGCGGGGGUGGCAGGUGCACCUCCAAUUGUCACUACUGUUAUUAGCCACGUGGAGAGGUUCAAGGCAGCACCACUUUACUCCCACUUGCCUGCAGCUGCGCUUCCACCCGUCUCCAUACGCAUGGCCAGAAGCAAAAAGCGGUGCUUGGGAUAGCAUCCUGCUUCCUCCCAAUGGCAGUGGCAGUGACAAAAUGGCCACCAGUUGUGAAGGGCUGGGUCUGUCCUCCCAAGAGCAAAGACUAAUAUAAGAAUGAAGUCAUGAAUAAGACAGGAGGUGAACUCUGAAUGCCAUUGCUGACCUAGGGGCUAAAUUAAACAUUGCUUUGAGGUGCAGGUGUAAUUUAUGAGACUCCACUUAGCAGAACUGUGACUACAGAAAGUUUUUGUCUCUUUUACCUUGGAAAUAUUGGUGUGUAACAAUGGUUUAUGGCCUAUUAUGUGUGGCUGUGGAAGGAACUUUGUGUCAGCUGGAAGCCUUUUUCUGGUUGGUGGCUGUUGGUUUGCACAUAGCAUGUAUGGCAGGGGUGUAAGAAUGGAUAGGCGGUGCAUUCCCUCUUGAAGUAAGGAGAGCCUCUGAAAGAAGCACUCUAGUGGGACAGGACUUACACGUGUAACCACAGCUUGGGAAAGCAACUCUGAAAAUCCUUUUUCCAUAGGAGGCAGUGAGGAGGAGGUCUCACCUAUGUGGUCAGUCAGCCUCCAUGGCUGCUGACCGUUUGUUAGCAUUGCACAUCAUUUUUUGCUGGUACAAGCGCGUGUACUUCACCCAGUUAGUAGGAAGUACAAUUUAUUUUACAACACAGUUACUAGAUAAUAUCAGAUUUCUGUAAAAUGCUUCUGUUUUUCAGGACCUAUGUGUAAAUGAGCUCAGGGUUUUGCAUGGGCUGGGUGUAACAGAAUUCAUGGCUAGAAGGUACAUCCAAGUUAAGACUUUGUUAACCUCAUUUGCAUGGGGGUCAGUGAGUGAAUCAGUUGUUGCAAUGCAGGGUAGUUUAAUUGCUUUUCUAUGUUCUGCACAUUCUGCACAUGCACCACACACUUUGCAAAGAAAUUCAUUGGUACUUUGUCCAUCUCUGUGGAGGUCAUGCUGUAUCGUGUGGGGUCCUCCAACAAGCUGUUAGCAUCUGCAGGUGGACCACAAGACUCAGGUCUUCCACUCAAACACAAGAUUAUUCUGCCUGUACUUGCCUGCGCUGGAUAAAAAUGGUUUGCUUUCCUCAAUGAAAUGUGCUAUUUUGACUGCACUGUGUUGCGCUGUUGUGGAACCUAAGGAAUUACUUGCUUGGAUGAAAGGAAAAAAUGAUAGAGUAAACCUCUUAAGCUUCGAAGUGCUGAAAUAAACCACUGACGUUUUAUUGUAACAGUCAGAACUUUUAUUGCUGUGUUUUAUUUUAAUAGGGAUUGCAAAAGAAAAGGUCAUUUUUUUUACAGUUUCCUACACAGUCCAAACAAUUUCAAGUACUACUUUUGAAGGGUGGUAUUAUUUGUACUGAUAUUUUCAAGUCCAUCUGUUUUACACUAUGCAACAGCAAAGCUCCAGUAGUCCUGAAGUGCUCCUUUCUGUAAUGCAUAGAAAUAAACUUUGCCAGCAUUAACACUUUUAUACCAAUCUAAGUCUCUUUCCAUUUGGAAUAGCGCCCUGCUAUAACCAGACCUGUACCAACAUAAAGCAGGAUUUGUGGCUCCCCUGUGGGUUGAAGUUAUGUCAGCAGACAGGCACCUAUAUGAAUAAGGGUGACUUAGGUUCAUGUUUUAAUGGGAAAAGUAAAGAAUGCCGGUAAACAGUUUUUAAGCACCAAUUUUUUGUGAAUUAUUCUCUUCCCAUCAGACAAUUUCUCACUGAGCCUUUGCUUAUUUCUCCAGCAAGUCUUUCUCAGCCCUGUUAAUGACCAGUCCCUUAUAUCCCAAAUGCCUUACAGGAGUAACACUGCUUCUGAUGGGACAGCCAAGACAGCUAAGUGAGUUUCUUUUCUUAGUUCCUUUCUGCCUUGAAACCUUAGCACGUUCAGAUCUAAGCCCUUCUUUUUGCAAGGCCUUGCUGGAUUUUUUUUUCCUGUGGCAUUAAAGAAUGCCUUAUUUGAAAACUGCUGUUCAAAGAGGGAUUGAAAUCAGAUUUAGGAAAAUAACUUAUAUAAAAGUAUUAGCUGUCCUAUUUUAGGAGAUAAUUGGCUGUAGCAUAGUUUCCCUCUCUUAUUUCUUCCUGGUGAGAAAACAACCUACCUUGUCAUUGAGGUUUUUAUAAAAUGCUGCUGUUUGCAACAUUCACCAUGAGCACAUUAACCCAAACAUUUCUAGUGCAUGACUUACUUUGCUAACUCUGCUCCUAGCCUUCCUUUUGGCAUACAGACACCAAAAUGUCUUCAGUUAUCGCAAAACGGAGGAGGAAAAAAAGUUGGAUCAUGUAUUUGAUUGCCAAGGAGUAUAGAUACAAAAAAAAAAAAGAAAAAAAAAAAAAGAAAACUAAAAACCA